rnacentral:rRNA from 1 species
GAGUGAGUGGCGGACGGGUGAGUAACACGUGGGUAACCUGCCCUAAAGUGGGGGAUAACAUUUGGAAACAGAUGCUAAUACCGCAUAAAACCUAACACCGCAUGGUGUAGGGUUGAAAGAUGGUUUCGGCUAUCACUUUAGGAUGGACCCGCGGUGCAUUAGUUAGUUGGUGAGGUAAAGGCUCACCAAGACCGUGAUGCAUAGCCGACCUGAGAGGGUAAUCGGCCACACUGGGACUGAGACACGGCCCAGACUCCUACGGGAGGCAGCAGUAGGGAAUCUUCCACAAUGGACGAAAGUCUGAUGGAGCAACGCCGCGUGAGUGAAGAAGGUUUUCGGAUCGUAAAACUCUGUUGUUGGAGAAGAAUGUAUCUGAUAGUAACUGAUCAGGUAGUGACGGUAUCCAACCAGAAAGCCACGGCUAACUACGUGCCAGCAGCCGCGGUAAUACGUAGGUGGCAAGCGUUGU